UAGGGAAUCUUCGGCAAUGGGGGGAACCCUGACCGAGCAACGCCGCGUGAGUGAAGAAGGUUUUCGGAUCGUAAAGCUCUGUUGUUAAGGAAGAACGAGUGUGAGAAUGGAAAGUUCAUACUGUGACGGUACUUAACCAGAAAGGGACGGCUAACUACGUGCCAGCAGCCGCGGUAAUACGUAGGUCCCGAGCGUUGUCCGGAUUUAUUGGGCGUAAAGCGAGCGCAGGCGGUUAGAUAAGUCUGAAGUUAAAGGCAGUGGCUCAACCAUUGUAGGCUUUGGAAACUGUUUAACUUGAGUGCAGAAGGGGAGAGUGGAAUUCCAUGUGUAGCGGUGAAAUGCGUAGAUAAAUGGAGGAACACCGGUAGCGAAAGCGGCUCUCUGGUCUGUAACUGACGCUGAGGCUCGAAAGCGUGGGUAGCAAACAGG
rnacentral:rRNA from 1 species